GCUGUAGACCAGAGCUGUUCCUAUUCGGCCAUCUUGGCUCCUCCCCCUUCUACUUGCUGUUUUCUAGUCAUCUUUAAAGCUCCUCUAACUCAGCACAAAGACAAAGAAUUCCCUGGUGAUUAGUGUGCACCCACAUUUAUGCAUAAUGGUCAUUUGCUUUUGCCUCUGGGGCAUCCUGAAUUCAUCUCUUCCCCCUUCCCUGUAUCGCGGUUGAUGUCCAAUUCAGCUACUGCUGUCAUUUCUCUUAUCUAUUGCUUUUUCUGCUUUUUGCUAAAGAAACAAACCCCUUCCUGAGCCCUUUUCAACUUUGGCACUCUUCUAGCUUGGUGCUUCAGAACUCCCGCCCAUGCUGUUGUUGCUGUUUGUAACGUGUAAAAUGUUCCUGUCAAGCUUUUCCCUGCCUCCCAUGUAGGUUACAUUACUCUCUUCCAUGGUCUCCCUUGAUGUCUAACACUACACGCUUAUAUUGUAACUGAGUGUCUCUUGUGCUCUUCCUCUCCUCCCACUAUUCUGCAACAACUACCACCAUGUGUCUCACUCUUACCCACUGUCAGUCCCAUUGUUCUUUCUGCCCCAGCUACUAUCAAGGCUUCCAUUCUGGACUUCCAUGCAUUUCUCACACCUACAACUUCAUAUUCACCAAACCAUGUGUUCCUCCAUGCUCCUCUAGUGAGUACAGGACAUUCUCAUGCUCCUUUGAUACACUGGCGUAUUGACAUGUUGAUAUAAAUGAAAGGGUCUUGCUUUUAGAUCCAUAUUAAUACCAAAUUAACAACAUCUGUAUUAAGCGUAAUUGCUUCCCUAUCUCACUUUAUUCCCCCCCAAAAUAUGUACAAAUACAUAGAGAACCCUAAUUGUAUCUAUUGCUCAGAUUUUUGUCACUGUACACGUAUAUUUGCCAUAAAGUUUUUGUGACAGAAACUGCCAACUAUCCGCCAGUAUCCAGUCUCUUUUUCCUCCUUUUGAAGUGGGAGAGUUCCCUGAUACCUCUCGCAGGAUGUGUGACAGGGUUGUGGCUCACCUGUUCGGUCACCUCACUGCUCAAAUCCCUAGCCAGAGGGGGAGCAUACAGAUGGGCAUGUGCAGGGCCCAGGGAGAGCGCUUUUGGGUCUGGCCCCACAGUAGUAUCUAGAGGUGGGUACCUGCAACCCCAGUGCUACAAAGUUCUUUCAGCUUUGCCAUUGCAGACAGCUUGAGUGUUAAUCAGCUCAGUGGACCCUCUGCCUUUUUGCAAAGGCAGAGGGCCAGUGUGACAGCCUUCUUUAUCCCGAGCUCUUGCCCAGUGUCCUGGAAGAAUCAGGUCACACGCAAGCUUGAGGAUAAAUGCAAGAUUUUAUUGAGUGGUGGAGGUGGCAGUGAGAUGGAUGGGGAGCUGGAAGAAGGGGAUGGAAUGGGAAGGUGAUCUUCCUCUGGAGUUGGGCCACCCAGCAGCUGGACUCCUUUCUGACUGCCCCCAGCCAAACUUCUCUUGGCAUUCAGAUGUUCCUCCUCUUCUCUUUUUCUCUGCCACGUUGUUCCACCAUCCAUCAUCUGGUCUGCUGGCUUGCUGGUCUGUCCCUGGAGCCUGGGAUUCAUGGCUUAUAUGGGUGCAGGACAGGAGGCAUGGCGGGCCAAAAGGCAACUUUUGGGGCAUAAAAACAGGAAUGCCUAUUCUCAUUUAGGGCCCCAGGAUCCAGGCUUGAGGCUGGGGCCUUUGCAUGGAGAUCAUCCUCUUCUAUCCAGUAUUUCACUGUGUCCUGUCCAUAUCAUUUUUUAGUAAUGGAACCCUCACUCUGAAUUUUAGCAGAGCACAUAGCCCAAGGUAGAGACUAAAUUUCCCACCCUACCCCUACAGCAAGGUAUGGGCCUGUAAAUUCGUUCUAGCCAAUGGGAUAUGAGCAAAAGUGAUUUGUGCAAUUUCAAAGUCACUUCUUUUUUAAAGCAAAGUGUUCCUCUUUGCCCACACAUCCUGAAACAGCAUGUUUGACCCAUUGCUGGAAACCACAAAGGAAAGAUGGACAGAGUCAACCCCUCAGCCUGGGUUUCCGGACUCAGCACGCACAGCUACCUUUCUACCCUGGACUACUCACCUACCUCUGGACUGUUGUGUGAUAAAUCACUUUUAUCAUAUUUAAGCUAUUUUGUCUUGGGAUCUCUGGGUUCCAGUACUUUAGGUACUACCCCAACUAAUAUACUGAUCUUACUAGACUCUUUGUCUAAUGUCUUGCCUUCAAGUAGGUUGCUUCAAUUCAAUGCAACCAACAUUUUGUGAAAGCCUUCCAUAUGCUGAGGCAGCGAGUAGUUCUCCAGGUAUGGUUCUCAGACAAGCAGCAUCAGAGUCUCCUGGGAACUCAUCAGAUACGCAUAUCCGCAGACUCCACCCCACACCUACUGAAUGAGAAGCUCCAGGAAUAGGGCUCUGUAAUCAAUUUUAAUAAACCCUUCAGGUGAUCUAGAUGUACAGAUGUUUGAGAAUCACUGUGCUGGGGUGAAGUGGGUCAGGAGCAGGAGGUGGUUGAGGGCAGAGCUAAAAAUGAAUAAAAACCACCUUCUAUCCUGAAGGAGUUUACAUUGGAGAGAGAAGUACAGAGAAAUAAUGUUAUGAAAACAAAAUUAUUGUCUUGACUUUCUGCUAUUUCCUGCUUCCCUUUUUCUUCAGAUUAAUUCACAACAAUUUAGCCUAGAUUGUUUUAGUUUUUAUAUGUGAUUAUUUAUAAACAGCCUAAAAUUUUAGGCCAUCUGGGUCUAUGCAAAUCCUAAAAGGGGAAAUAAUUUAAGUUACAUUGGUAGAUAGGGUGAACAGAGAUUAGUUCACCAAUAUUAGAAUCUUAGAAUCGAUGAGGAUUUACUGAAACCAAGAAUGGGGUGUUAUUUUUCACAGUGGGUAGUAAAAUUACAGUACUUAUUACCCUGUAAAGGGUUAUAUGGCCUAGAAAUAAAAACAGUUGAGCAUGGAUUAGAUUUAUGAGUGAGAAAGUCAUAAAAUUCCAAUAAGCAUGAGUUAGGAAUGUUCAAAUUAUUUCUGAAAAUGUCUGACAUCAAUAUCGUAGAAGGAAACUACCACCUUUGCUGUCACCACCUCUUAUUAUAAUCUUCAGUGUUCAGAACACUAGUCUAGACCAGACCAGACCAAUGUGGUAUUCGUUGUGGGCUGGCAAGUAGACUGUGUGAGAAUAAAGACUCUUGUACCUAAUGUGUUUUGUAUAAAACCUGUGCACACUUCAGAUUAGAUAGAUAAUAAAGGUAGAGAAGAUAAGGGAGACAAUGGAUGCAACUCAUAAAAGAAAAUAAUUAUGAUUUGAGAUUAAAGACAGUUUGCCAUUAUUCUUACUAACAAGAGACAACCGAGAUAAUUGAAAUCUGAAGAUAAUCUAAAACCUAAAUAAAAUAUUAUUAUUACUAUACACAGCAAACUAAUCUAAUGUCUUUGGCAUAGGAGCCAAAUACUUUGGACAGUGCUAACAUGAUGAAGAAGAAUUAGCAAAUUCAAAAUCUAGCCAAACUUGGGACUUCAGUGAAUCUAUAAUAGUUUCUUUGGCAUAAUGAAGACAUGGCAGUUAGCAUUGCCCUACUUCCCCCAAAUUAUGUGACUCUUUAAAAAAAGGGUUGAAUUUCCCCACCUGCUGUUAGAAACACAAAAGUCUUUCUGCAUAGCUGCUAAAAAUUAUUUUAGCUUUGGCCCAUACAUUUUUUUAAAUCUUGCAGUGUCUUUACUGUCAGUUUGGUAAGAUACAGCCACUUUAUCUCUUUUUCUCCCUUCUUUUUUCUUUUAAGAAUUCUUCAUCCAUCUUCUUUCCAAAAUUACUGUGAGUCAGGAUUUCUAUUCCAAAUAAUUUGGAAUCAAAAGUAUUCAACAGUCUGGAGGCAAAUUAGGUUUUUAUUGCAUUUUUAUUAAGAGCAAAUUGAACUGUGUGGGCAGGCUAGAGAGGGGCUCCUCUGUAAGGCUUCAGCAUGCCCCACUGUUGCACCCAGCAAGGACUCAUGUUACAAGAAUUACAUCUGUGAUCUGCUUUUAUUGACUGGCCGGGCCCAACAGGCCCCUGGACAUUGUCAGACAAGUUAACUCCUUCUUGAGCCUCAGGAACCUUCCACAGGAGGGCUUAUAUGGCUCCCACAGGUCUCUCUGUCUUUCUUCUUAUAACUUACAAAUAUUUUCCUAAUAUGAAGUAGUGUUUGGUAAACUAUAACGAUAUUUCAUCUUCACAAACCCCUAUAAUACAUAAGAAUUACUGGCCGGGCGCGGUGGCUCACGCCUGUAAUCCCAG
rnacentral:lncRNA from 1 species